rnacentral:tRNA from 1 species
GCAGUGGUGCAUCUGUGGUAGACUCCUCGCCUUCCACACAGGAGACCCGGGUUCGAUUCCCGGCCAGUGCA